UACAGAGGGUGCAAGCGUUAAUCGGAAUUACUGGGCGUAAAGCGUGCGUAGACGGUUAUUUAAGUCGGGUGUGAAAGCCCCGGGCUCAACCUGGGAAUUGCAUUCGAGACUGAAUAGCUAGGGUGCGGAAGAGGGAAGCGGAAUUUCCGGUGUAGCGGUGAAAUGCGUAGAUAUCGGAAGGAACACCAGUGGCGAAGGCGGGUUGCUGGGCCGACACUGACGCUGAUGCGCGAAAGCCAGGGGAGCGAACGGG
rnacentral:rRNA from 1 species